GUUAUUCAAAAGCUAGAUCUUCCACUUGAGACUGAGCUGCACUUGACAGAUGAAUCAGGGACAGAAGUUGAUGCAGAUGUGUUUGAGGAGCUCUUGCAGGCAGGGAACCUCACUGUUAGGGUGGCAUUGGAAAAGUCAACAGUUGUACUUCAGCAUGAUCUUUCAUAUACUUCGCUGGAGUCACCCAUGUCAGACAACUCAUCUGGGUCAGUGUCAGGAGUGUCCUCGCUAGCAUCCUCUGAUUCAUCAGAUGCAACAGUGAUUGUUCAUACAAACGGAGGGAGGAGAACCCAUGCUGAACGGGAAUCAGCAAAAGAGAUGGUGAGAAAUGCUCUGAAGGCUAAACCAGGUGGACAGUUUAUUUUGGAUGAAUAUGACAAAAUGAAAACAUUGACAGAUAGCACAAGGAGAAAGUUGGUAAACCUUCUUGUGGCC